rnacentral:rRNA from 1 species
UACAGAGGGUGCAAGCGUUGUUCGGAAUUAUUGGGCGUAAAGGGCGCGUAGGCGGUGCUGUAAGUCUGUAGUGAAAUCUCUGGGCUCAACUCAGAGUCUGCUAUAGAAACUGCAGUGCUGGAGUGUGGGAGAGGUGAGUGGAAUUCCCGGUGUAGCGGUGAAAUGCGUAAAUAUCGGGAGGAACACCAGUAGCGAAGGCGGCACUCUGGGCCGUGACUGACGCUGAGGAGCGAAAGCGUGGGUAGCAAACAGG